rnacentral:tRNA from 1 species
GGGCCACUAGCUCAGUCGGUUAGAGCGCAGUCCUGAUAAGACUGAGGUCCCAAGUUCGAUUCUUGGGUGGCCCACCA